CCUACGGGUGACAGCAGUGGGGAAUAUUGCACAAUGGGGGAAACCCUGAUGCAGCGACGCCGCGUGAGUGAAGAAGUAAUUAGUUAUGUAAAGCUCUAUCAGCAGGGAAGAAAAUGACGGUACCUGAGUAAGAAGCCCCGGCUAACUACGUGCCAGCAGCCGCGGUAAUACGUAGGGGGCAAGCGUUAUCCGGAUUUACUGGGUGUAAAGGGAGCGUAGACGGCAGGGCAAGUCUGAAGUGAAAGGCCGGGGCUCAACCCCCGGACUGCCGUGGAAACUGUUCGGCUGGAGAGCAGGCGAGGUAAGUGGAAUGCCUAGUGUAGCGGUGAAAUGCGUAGAGAUUAGGAGGAACACCAGUGGCGAAGGCGGCUUACUGGACUGUAACUGACGUUGAGGCUCGAAAGCGUGGGGAGCAAACAGGAUUAGAUACCCGAGUAGUC
rnacentral:rRNA from 1 species